CAAUUUCAUCUUCCAGCCUGCGUAGCUCCAUUUCACGUUGAUCUUGCUGAAGCUUUAGCAAACGUCUUCUUGCAGCAUCCUAUUUCCACAACAGUAGACUGCACCUGUCCCUGCUGGGUCAUGUGACCUGCACCUGUGUCCCUGCUGGACCAUGUGACCUGCACCUGUGUCUCUGCUGGACCAUGUGAACUGCACCUGUGUCUCUGCUGGACCAUGUGAACUGCACCUGUGUCUCUGCUGGACCAUGUGACCUGCACCUGUGUCUCUGAUGGGUCAUGUGACCUGCACCUGUGUCUCUGAUGGGUCAUGUGGACUGCACCUGUGUCUCUGAUGGGUCAUGUGAACUGCACCUGUGUCUCUGCUGGGCCAUCUUCUCCUCCUCUUGAAGAAGCAUCUCUCUUCUUGUCUCCUCAGCUCUACGGAGCAUCUCUUGCUUCUGGUACCACGCCUCAUCCUUAGCUCUCUGCUCAUCCACUUCAGCUUGCAUAUUUUCAACUGUCUGCCUUAAGUAGACACAAUGUUUACUAUUAUGAAAAUGCAAACAAGAUACAAAAUCUAGAACCUGGUGAAAGCUCAAUAUGUGACUUUAUUUCCAGAUAAUCUUUAAAGACAUCAGCUGCCUUCAAA
rnacentral:sRNA from 1 species